AUCCCAUGAUGAGGACAGGCGAGGAUGUAUUCUUUCAGUCUUUCCCAAGCUUCUGGGAUGAAUUCCAUCCCUGUUUGCUGGAAACUUGAAGUUCAUCCACGUAGGGC